AGUGAACGUUGGCGGCGUGGAUUAGGCAUGCAAGUCGAGCGAGAACCGUAGCAAUACGGGGACAGCGGCGAAAGGGACAGUAAUGUGUAGGUACCUACCUCCGGGUUCGGGAUAGCUGCGGGAAACUGCAGGUAAUACCGAAUAACGUCUCCGGACCAAAGGUGUGAUUCCACCUGGAGAGGGGCCUGCAUCCUAUUAGCUUGUUGGCGGGGUAACGGCCCACCAAGGCGACGAUGGGUAGCGGGUGUGAGAGCACGACCCGCGUCAUUGGGACUGAGACACUGCCCAGACACCUGCGGGUGGCUGCAGUCGUGAAUCUUCGGCAAUGGGCGCAAGCCUGACCGAGCGACGCCGCGUGCGGGAUGAAGGCCUUCGGGUUGUAAACCGCUGUCGUAGAGGAGGAAAUGCAGGGGGGUUCUCCCCUCUGUUUGACCUAUUCUAGGAGGAAGUACGGGCUAAGUUCGUGCCAGCAGCCGCAGUAA
rnacentral:rRNA from 1 species